rnacentral:lncRNA from 1 species
UGUAGAAUUUUACUUAGUCUUUAUUUUGACACUUCUCAGGUUGAAUUUUAUAUCCCUCGUUACUAUCAUUAGAUCCUUACAUGUAUUAAAUUUUAUAUUUUUUUGUGAAAUAAAGUAAUUUUAACUAAUGAAGCGAGUUGAACAAAAUAAUAUGACAUGAAACAUGGUAAUAAAAAGGCAAGUUUGGUUUAGUAGACCAUACUUUAUUUAACAAAGUAAGUGGGAAACAAAACAAUACAUAGAUGCAUGUUUCUAGUUUUCAGGGAGGUUCCAAGUUUCUAUAUCCUCAUCCCUUAGGUUUAAUUAUUAUCGUCUUCGUCUCCGUCACCUUCGUCUCCGUCACCAUUGUCUCCGUCGUCGGGAUUUUCUUUAUCGUCUUCGAAGGGUGCCUCACUAUUACCAUUUUCUCCUUCACUAUUAUUGUCUCCUCUUCCCCAUCCCCAUGGUAACCAACCCAAUGCCAAAUCUCUCAAACCUCCCCAAUCUACAUACCUUCUCAUUAAAGUACUAUAUUCGGAUUGCUCAGCUGCCACAAUAGUCAUAAGAAGGGGAACACACAGAAAGAAUACUAAGAUAAAAAAUUUUGUUUUCAUCCUUGCUUAAAUUUCUUAAAGUUUGUUGUAAAAUAUGAAUAAUAUCCUCAAAUAUUUAUAGUGAUCACGCAUGGGAAAAAUAAGAUAAUUUUAAAAGACAAAAACAUAUUGAAGAAAAAUAUAUUGCGUACUAAAAAAAAAGACAAUAUGUAUUCCAUGGCCAAUUGCAAAGACAAUGGGUCAUCAAAAUCCAUAGAGCCAUGGAAAGGUUAAAUAAAUUAGAACAUGUUUGUCUUUUGGAUCAUGAUAAUUUGAGGAUUAAAGAGACGUUUUAUACAAUUAAUCUUUUCUAAAAAGUUGCUUUUGGUUAAAUUGUUUCAGAAAAUAGAAUUUAAAACUAGCGAGUUGUAAAAUUUGGCUUCCUAAUAAAUUUAGGAUAAAAGUGAUGUAAUGUCCAAUUAAUUCUAAAUGAGUGAUUUAUUUUGACUAUUAAAUGUUUUAAUAUUGGAAUAUUAAAUUUUUAGUAUCUAAAAAAUUUUGAAAUUUUAUUUUUAGUACUUAUUAAAAAAAAUUAUAUUUUUUAGUUUCUACAAAAUUGUUAUAUAAGUAGUUUAAUUUAUACCAUAUUGGAACAUCAAUAUAUAUAUAUAUAUAUAUUUGAAUACUUUUUUUUUUUUUGCAUACAUGCUGACAUUAUAAAAAGUUCAACAUAAAAAAUGAUAUCAAAAUUCAAUUUCUAGAUCUAUAUUUUAAAGACUUUUAUCUUAAAUAGACGACGUUUAAUUAAUUCAUCCCAAAUUAAAAAAAAAUUAUAUGAAUUAAUUUUUAAUAAUAUUCUAAACAUGCUUACAAUAUUAUUCAAAUAUUUAAAAGUUGAAGAAUAUUUUAUUUCAUCAGAGACUAAAAUAAUUUGAUUAAUAAUUUUAUAGGAAUUAAAAAAAAUGUAUGCACACAUAAAAAAAUAAAAAAUUAUCAUCUUUAUAUGGGUCUAAGAACACAACUAAAACAAAUCAAACAAUAACUUCUCGUUUUAAUUAUGAGUUAUAUUUGGUAUUUGUAACAUUUUAUUUUAUUUUUACAUCUUACCUUAUUAUGAGUUGAUAUAAUUAUUCUAUAAAUUAUUGGUGAUAAUUAUUAUUGUAAUGUGUUAUUUUAAUUUUUAAUAAUAAUAAUAAUAAUAAUAAUAAUAAUAAUAAUAAUAAUAAUAAAAGGGAAUCGUUAAAAACAAAUUUCAUGAUUUAGAGGCUGUAAAUACACGUUUCCCAUUUAAUAUCACGUUUUCCAUUUAAUACCCUCCCCUUUAAUACACAUCCCCAUUUAAUAGCACACGUUACCCACUUCUAAUGAUAAAAAAUGAAUAAAACAAAACAUAAAAAGAAAUAAAACAAAAAUGGGUUUAAGAGAGAAAAAGAAAUAAAUUCAAGAACUAAAUGAGUUACUGAUUCAUCCCUUAAGUAUAGCACAUUUGGAGCAAAGACUUGGGUGAGAAUUUUAAUAACGCCACUCAUAUCGAUAAGGGCGUGACUCCAUCCGCUUUUCUAAUUGAAUUAUUGUUUGUGUGUUAUAUUCAAAAUGAAUAUUAAUAAUUAUUGUGUUUGACAUGUUCAAAAUGUGGAAAAUAAAUGUUAUGUGAUAUGUUGUUAUAAUGGUUGUGUUGAGCAUAUUCAAAGUGUGAAGAAUAAAUGUUAUGUGAUAUGUUGUUAUAAUGGUUGUGUUGAACAUAUUCAAAGUGUGGAAAAUAAAUGUUAUGUGAUAUGGUGUUAUAAUGUUAUGUCGAACAUAUCCAAAGUGUGAGGAAUAAAUGUUAUGUGAUGUGUCGUUGAUAAGUUAGUAUCCCAUUAUAUUUUAUUAGAGUGUACACGAAGCCCUUGCGGGGGGAAGCGAUAUUCCAGAAUCAUUACAUUGGCAUAUAUAAAUUAAGUAAUAAGGUUUGUUGGAUAUGCAUUAAUUAAAGUGUAGUGUGACUAGUGUUUUGUAACGAUAACUGAUACAUUGUAUCUUCUGGUUUUGGAUGAAUUAACUUUAUAAAAAAUGUGAUAUUGUAUCUCCUGGUUUUAAGUGAAUUAACGUUAUUAAAUAUGUGAUAGUGUACUUCUAUAUCUUAUUAUUAAUUAGGUAGAUAUGAUAAUAUUAUAUUUGUAUUGUCAAUGUGGUUAGUCGUUUGAGUGAAUUAAUGUUAUUAAUUAUGCAAACAUUGUACUGUUAUCUUUUCAUUGUUGUUAUAUCUUUAAUGCGUUGUGAUUUUUAAUUGUUAAAUGGAGUACAUGAUUUAUUUAUAUUUUUGCUAUAACAACUAUAUAUGCAUGCAUAUUUGCUAUGUGUUUGUUAUUUUGAGAUGACCCUUAUAUUUGAUAGGACGUUAUAUAGUGCUAUGUGUUUGUUAUAUUUUCAUUGUUAUUAUACCUUUGGGUGCGUUUUGAUUUUUAACUAUUAAAUGAAGUACAUGAUUUAUUUAUAUUUUUGCUACAACAACUAUAUAUGCAUGCAUAUUUGCUAUGUGUUUGUUAUUCGGAGUUGACCCUUACAUUUGACAGACUUGUUGGGUUAGUUUACCAAAAGUCCAAAGUUUAUGACCAACUGGAUUUAUGUUUGGGUAGUAAAAUAUCAAUAGUUUUGGCUAUAGGAGUCUCUUUUGUUUAACAUAUUAAAUUUACAUUGUAAAUAUUUUGAUUCUUUAUUUUCGAAAAUAUAACUAAAAAUAUUAUUAAUUGAUUUUAAGAUAAAUGAGUAUUUAAAAUAAUUAUAAAUAAAUAAAAGCAAAUUUGUAUUUUUACGUAUAGAAUUCCGUUAGUUAAUGUCCCGAAAAAGCGGGAUGUUACAGUGUUGGUUAGCAUCCUUCUAAUCAGCUGUUGGGGAAUUCCUUGUGCCUUCAUUUUAUUGAAUGGAUUUUUCUUUGUCCGAAGAAGAACAAACCAUUGUGGAGUGUUUGCCGUUAUAAACAAUUAUUAAAAUAGAGUAAUAUUAAUGGAAAUGCACAAUUGCUCCUGCGAUCCCUUAACUUAAUUUUAGAUAACACUUUAAUUUUUUUUAAAUGGUCUUUUAUUUAAUAUUAUUACAAAAAUUCGAAAAUAUAAAGAAUGAAAAUAUGAGUUUAUUUAAAGAUUUAAGUUAUUUCAUCGACGUUGUUUCCAUAAACUAUGAUCUCAUCAACAUAUAUCACUAAGGCAGUAAAGGACGAGCAAAUGGAUUUAAUGAAUAAAGAAUGAUAUGAAUUAGAUUGAGUAUACUCUUUUGAAAUGAGAGUGGAGGAAAGUCUAGCAAACCAUUGCUUACUAGACUAUUUUAAACCAUAAAGAGGUUUUUGAAGUUUACAAACAAUAUUUGGAUUAUGAGCCAAUAACCCAAGGAACAAUUGCAUAUAGACUUCCUCUUCUAAAUUGCCAUGUAAAAAAGCAUUGUAAACGUCUAACUUAUGAAAAUGUCAAUUAUGAGAUGAUACAAGAGCAAGUAAGAGUCUUACGAUAAUGAGCUUAGCUAAAGUGAAUAAGUAUCAAAAUAAUCAAUUCCUUCAAUUUGGUUAAAACAUUUGGCAACAAGGCGUGCCUUAUAAUGUAUUAUAGAACCGUAAGCGUUAUAUUUUACCUUAUAAACCCAUCGACAACCUAAGGGCUUUUUAACACGUGGCAACUUAGUAAGAGUCCAAGUGUUGACUGAUCGAGGGUUGUUAGAUGAGAUUGCAUGGUCUGAACCUAAUUAUUAUAUGUGACAACUUGUUUAAAGCUAGUAGGGUCACGAACAACAGAAAUAAAGGAAAUAAAAUGAUAGAAAAAAAUAUGACAAUUUUGACUAAGAUAAGACCUGGUAUAAAUGAUACAAUAUAUUGGACUUAUGGCACCUAUCAUGUGCAAAAUUUCACUCAAAAUCUUGUAAGUAAGCAGGGACCUUGUUAGACCUUGAAGACCUACGAAUAGUAUCUUGAUGCUCAUCAAAAUCAAAGAUAGGGGAAGUAUGUAAAUUGUUAGGACUAGUAUCAAGACUAGAUGAAGGAGUUGGAGCAAAUAUAAUACUAUCAUCAGUGGAGUUAUUAACAUAAACAAUUAUUAGGCUAAAGCAUAUUAGUAUCAUCAAACAGAAUAAAGGAAUCACCAGAAUCAUCAUUAAUAUGCAAGGAAGUAGAAUUAAGAUUAACAUAUGGAAAAACAUGUUCAUAAAAAUCUACAUUCCUAGAAACAAAGGUGACAUGGGUAUGUAAAUCAAACAUCAAUUAACCUUUAGUUCCUUAUCUAAAUCCAAGGAAAAUACACUUGGGGGCCCUUUGAUAAAGUUUAGUUCUAUGAUAUAGCAAAGUGGAAGCAUAAGCAAGACAUCAAAAAACCUUUAAAUACAUAAAGUUAGGAGAUUGUUUAUAUAACAUUUCGAAAGGGGUCUUAUUAUGUAAAACAGGAGGUAGUUAACCUGUUAAUAAGAACAACAUGAUUAAUAGCAAAAGACAAAAAAUUCUUUGGUAGUUUAGAGUGGAAAAUAAGUGAUCUAGUCACAUUAAGAAGAUGAGGAUGUUUCCUUUCAACAAUUAAGUUUUAUUGGGGUGUCUCAACACAAGAGGUUUGAUGCAAUAUGCUCACACUAGAAUAAAAAAGAGGCAUAUUGAAUUCAAGACCAUUAUCAUUGCUAAUUUUCUAGACUUUUGUAUGGAAUUGUGUUCUAACAAAGGAAACAAAGUUUUGAAGGAGCAUACGAGUUUCAGAUUUAGCAUUCAUUAAAAAUAACCAAGAAAAUCAUGAAUAAUCGUCAACAAUAGUUGGAUAAUAUUGAUGACCCUCAAAAGAAGGAACAUUAAUAGGUCCUCAAAUAUCAACAUGUAUAAGGCUAAAAAUAUGUAAAGAAACAUUUUCACUACGGGGAAAAGGGAUUUUAGCAUUUUUUGCCCAAAUAAAAAGAGUCACAAAUUAUAUUUUUAUUAACUGAAAUGUAAGAAAAUCGUUUACACGUUUGUUGUAACAGGGUUAUUGAUGGAUGGACCUAACCUAAAAUGUAAAACAUCAAAUUUAUUUGGUAUAGUGGCAUUAACAAAGGUAGUAUAAUGGUCAUUAGAAACAAGAGCAAAAUCAGUAGAAAAAACCAUAGCAGAGGUAUAAUAUGAUCAAGAAUAUACAGGCUAUUACAAUGCUCCACAUGUCAAAUCGUCUUAUGGGUAUGCAAAUCCUGAAUUGUAUAAAAAUUCUUAGAAAAUAAUAGUUUGUAAUUCAAAUCAAGAGUGAGUUUUGAAAUAGAUAUUAAACUAAAAUUGAAUUGAUGAAUAAACAACCUAUUUUUCAAGUAAAGAUCAGAAGUAAAGUAAAAAUCUUCUAAAAAAUGCGCAAGAAUAAACGACCCAUUUGAAAAAAUAAUAAAAAUUGGUUCAAUUUGUUUCAUUGAAUAAAAACAUUUGAUAAAUGGACCAACAUGAUCUGAAGCCCCCGAAUCCAUAAUCCAUAGAGAAAAAGGAAUAGAUACGAAACUUGUAUUAGAAAUACUUGAUACUACGUGAUUGGAUUGAUCUGAAAUAGAAUUCUUGGUUUUGAAAGAAGUUACAUCAUCAUAUUUAGAAUUGUGUAGCAGAUUAAUCAUAAUAUUAUAAUAUGUUUUGCUAAGAUGAUUGUUGAUUGUUGGAAUCGUGUUGCUGUGUAGGCUAGGAGAGAGAAGGAUUCUUGGAACCAUUUAUUGAAGACGAAUUCAAAGAUUGUUUUUUAGGAUAAGUUAGUUGAAAGCCAUGUUUGAAAUAACAUAUGUCUACAAUGUGAUUAUUCUUAUGGCAUCGAGUAUAAAACAUGGAGGGCCGAGGCUGACCACGACGAUGAUGGUAUUGCCCGCGACCUUGACCUGAAUUUUUGGAAGUAUUGAUAUUAAAAACAACAUAAGUAUCAGGAGGAUUAUGGUUCGAAUUGGGGACCAGGUCUUAUUGAAAAACGAAAGAAUACACCUUGUUAAUAUAAGGUAAAGGAUCCAUGAAUAAAAUCUGUGUGUGAAUGUUAUUGUAAUUUUUAUUCAAACCUUUAAGAAAACAAGUGAUAUACUCUUGAUGCUUGAAAUAAUGAACUGUUGUGCUGAGCUUGCAAGAACGAGGAAUAGGGCAUAUGCAUGAUUGUGUUGGGCACAAAUCCUCCAAUUCACCCCAAAGAAUCUUCACAUUGGUGAAAUAGGUAGACAAAGAAUGUUCACCUUGUUUGAUUGAAUGAAGAUCACGAAUUAGAUUGGAAAAUCGAAAAUUAUUUCCUUGAAUGAAACGAUCACGAAGAUCAUACCAUAACUCUAAUGCUGAAUCAAUGCAAAUGGAGAACGUUAAAAACUCAAUAUUGAUUUUGGUUGUGAAAACGGAGAACAUCCUUGGUUCUGGAAACAUAAAAUGGAGAACAUUCUAGGUUAAUUAAAAUCAAUAGUUUAGUUUAUAUGUUUAACUUGAUAAACAAAAGGACUGAAAGUAAAUAGAGAUAAGAGGAUAGAUAUCACACAAUGAUAUAUCUUAGUUCACCUAACUCGGGCUAUGUUCAGUCCUUACAAUUGUGAUAUUUUCCACUAAGCAUUCCAAUGGAGAACGUUCUUAGUUUUACACAGUUUUGUUCAGAUUAACCUUGAUAUGUAACAACAAUUCAUUUUCACUUAGAAAGGAUUCAAUUAGGUCACUUAUCAAUCUUUAGAGAGGAUUUUACAAUUCACCUUUUAACCAUAAAAAUGAUUUUCUACAAACUAUAAACAACUAUUAUAGUCUUGAGUUUACACAAUAAUGAUUUAAAGAGAUUGGUAGAAUCUGACUAUGUUUAAAUCGUGUUUGAGAAUACAUUCUUGAUAAAAGAAAUCAAUAUAACGGUUCUGAUAUUUAAAGAAGAAAACAUAACUUAAUCUUUUGCUUAUGAUUGAGAAGCUUUCAAGUAUAUAAGUGUAUGUAAGUGAUGGAUUUCUUAACACUUGAAGUUCUAUUUUUCCUUGAACUUGAGGUUCUUUUUAUAGGCUUCAAGGAGGAUGAUGACAACUACUUUGACCUUUGGAAAAUAUCUAGCUGUCAUGUGUCAGAUUUGACAAAAUUCCAUAACUUUUAAACCAUGAAUGUUUCUUGACUAGCUUCUCAUUCUUGACCGUGAUUCAUGGUCUUUUAUGCUCAUAGACAUCUCAAAGAUGUGUUUAAUGUAUUAAGAUCGAGAAUGUCUUUGGUUCGAUCAAAACAAGCUAGAGAAGGAUGUACACAUGUUGGAGAUUGAUUGUUAAUAUGCUGGAUAAUGAUGUUAUUUGUAACAUCCCGCGGUUUCGAGACAUUAACUAACAAAAUUCUAAACGUAAAAAUACAAAUUCGUUUUUAUUUAUUUAUGAUUAUCUUAAAUACUCAUUUACCUUAAUAUCAAUUAAUAAUAUUUUUAGUUAUAUUUUCAAAAAUAAUGAAUCAAAGUAUUUACAAUCACUAAAAGUAAAUUUAAUACAUUAAACAAAAGAAACUCAUAGAGGCAAAACUAUUGAUGUUUUACUACCCAAGCAUAAAUCCUAGUUGGUAAUAAACUUUGGAGUUGUGGAAAACUCACCCAAUAAAUCUAACACACCACACAUCUAUAUAUGAAUGAACGCAUGUGGACACUUUAAUAAAUCAUUAAUAUAAUGCAAGGUUAACUUAUUAACGGACAUAACAUUUAUUCUUCACACUUUGAAUAUGUUCAACACACCCAUUAUAACAACAUAUCACAUAACAUUAUUUUUCACACUUUGAAUAUGUUCAACAUAACCAUUAUAAUAACAUAUCACACCAUAUUUAUUUUCUACAAUUUGAUAAAAAAAAACAUUUCAACAUAGUAUAUAUUUAAUCUAACAAAUUUAUGAAUAAACACAAUCAUACAUAAAUAUAAUUGGAGUGAUGGCCUUACCGAUUUGAGUGUCGUUGCUCCAAAUGUGCUACAUUUGAGCUAUGAAUCACUAACUCAUUUAGUUCUUGUAUUUCUUCCUUUACCUCUCUUAAACCAGCAUUUUUGAAUGGAAGACGUCAUUGUUGUUUAGUUCCUUAUUAUCGUUAGAAGUGGGGAACUUGGUAUUAAAUGGGGAGCGUGGUAUUCCAGCAUAAGCCAUCAAAUUUAUUUUUAAUUAAUGGUUCCCUUUUAUUAUUAUUAUUAUUAUUAUUAUUAUUAUUAUUAUUAUUAUUAUUAUUAUUAUUGUUAUUAUUAUUAUUGUUAUUAUUAUUAUUAAUAUUAAUAUUAUUACCAAAAAUCAAAAUAACACAAUACAAUAGUAAUUAUCACCAACAAAUUCCUAGAAUAAUUAUCUCAAAUUCUAAUAAGGUAAAAUAUAAAAAUUAAAUAAAAUGUCUAGAUGUUAUAUGUUAGAGAGUCAAACAUUUGUGAUAACUUUCCACGAAUAUAUCAAACGUGUCAUGUAACACCCCAAAUUUUAUAAUAAACUAUUUUAUUAAUUAAAUAAGAUUUUAAAUAAUUAAUUUGACGUUAAACUUAUUUUAUAAUAUAUGUUGAUUUUCGUGCUAGUUUUGAGAUAAUUUCUACGAUGUGCUAGUUUUAUAAAUAUUAUAUUAAAUGAGCGAUAUAAAUAAUAAAUAUUAUAUUUUAUUAUUUGAUUUUUUUUUAAAAUAAUAGUAUUUUAGUGUAAUAUUUUAAAGAAAAAGAUUUUAUGCGAUUUUAUGUGUAUAUACCUGUACUCAAUUAAUGUAAUAUUUUUCUGUGCGCUUGAAUGAUGUUAAGUACGCACGUAGUUAUAUUUUAAUUAUUUAUAACUAUUUUCUAUUUUUAGUUAUUUAUUUUAUAAAUAAUUAUCUUGAGAUAGUAGUAAAUUGUAUUUAAUCUUGAUUUUUAUAUACUUGUUAUGGCAUUAUGAUUUUAUAUUUAUUUAUUUUAUAAUUUUAAAUAUUUUCUAACGUAGUAAUUUAAUGUAAGUAUUUGAAAAAAUAAGUAUAAUUAUAGUGAUUAAUUUGAAUAUGAGAGUUUUGGUUAUGAAUAUAUUUUAAAAUAAUAAUUAUUUUAUUUUAUAAAUUAUUAGUUUUGAAAUAUUAAUAAUAUUUUACUAAUAAAAUUAUGUUUUAUAAAUUCAUACACACUAUGUUUUUUAUUAUACCAUAGAACUUGUCAUAAAUUUUUUAAUUUUCAUUGCCUCUAAUAAAAUUUAGAAAAAUUCUAUUGAACAUUCAUUAAUCUGACAUCUACUAAUACAUUUGAUAGUUAAUUCUAUUGAACAUUUAUUUAUUAAUCUGACAUCUACUAAUACAUUUGAUAGUUAAGUUAAUAGUUAAAUAAUUUUUUUUUGAAUCAAAACUAUUUUUAUUAUUUAGCAAAUCAUAAUCACUAAAAGUUAUUUAUCAAAAUUGUCGGCAAAAUAAAAAUUAAUUUUUUUCAUUGAAUUUUUAUAACUCAUAAUAAUGAGUAUUUAAUAUUUUUUACAAUAUAAUGUAAAAACUUAAUUUAAUGCUUAUAAUAAUGAACUAAUUGUUUUUCUUAUAAAAUAAUUUUUCCUAAAAUAUAAAAGUGAAUAAAUAGCUCUUUGAUUAAUAAAAAUGAUCGUUAAUUAUUAAUUUAAAGAACAAAUAUUUUGUGUGUGGUGUAUUAUAAAAGUUAUAUCAAUUUUGAUAAUGUUAAAUUGUAAACACAUAUUACAUAAUCAUUUAGAAAAUAAUACAAACUACAUAUAAAAUUAUAAUGAAAAUGUAUACAAAGAAAAAAUGAUAUAUAACUCACCCUUUUCGGUAUUAGAGGAAGUCUCCAUUAAGUCCCUAGCUGAGACCUCAAAGGAGAUCAUAAGAACCAUAGCCAAAAGGCCAAGGAUGAGGGUUGUUUUUUUUCAAAUCCAUUGUUCAAUAUUUGGUAGUCAAAUUAAGAUGAGAAAAAUGGUAAGAAAGUGUAGUCUAUAUAUAGUGGAGGGAGAGGUUGAGAAAAAUUGUUUAAUAUGUGUCAAAUAUUGAGUAAAUAUAAUGUGUGAAAUCAUCAAAAAUGAUAUUUAUAUGGACAGAAAGAAUAUUAACCAACAAAUUUUAUCUCCCCAAUUGAUUUUUUUUAUCAAAAAAAAAAAAUUAUAAUAUUAGAUUUAUUAAUAGUGUAUAUUUUUCCAUGUUUACAUUUCGAUAAUUUAUAUUUUUUAUGAUUGUAUUUAUUUUUGGUAAAAAAAAAUGUAAUAUAUAUCUAAUAUUGAAAAUUUGAAAGAAUUCUGUUACGAAAAUAAAUUGUAUAGAAAAUCCAUCCUUCUAUAUCUAGAGUUAUUUUUGGACUUUUUCUAUAAUUAGGGAUGAAGCCAUAAGUACUAAGUAGUAGUUGUCACUGCCCCUAAUUGAGAUUGAAGCAUUAAAUGUGAUAACAUAGUUGUGAGAAGAAAUCAAAAUACUGGGCAGGUGGAAAUAAACGGUCUGUAGGUUACUUUUUUUUUAUCCCACAAUGAAUGUUACUUUCUCAUUCCACAUAUUAGACAUAUUAAGAAAUGACAAUUAAUAAAUGGAAGAGAAUAGUAAAUUAAUUUACAAAAUUAUCUAUGCGGACAAUUGGUAUGUUUCUCACUAUCACUAUUAUAAAUGUAAAAUGAAAUGUGUAUUUUGGAAAUAGUGUACAUGCAUAUAGUAUUGAUUAGAAGAUAAAAUUAAAAAAAAUAAUUAAUCUUACAUUGAAAACUGAUAAAUAAUAUUUAUUUUAUAAUGAAUUUUAUUUGUUAAAGUGAUACUGAGAGAGUAAUUUAUUCUACAUUCUAUAUAUGGUAAAAAGUAUUGUUUUCUCUAUUUCAUUAAUACAUUUAUUUUAUAAUAUGUAAAAUGAUCAAAAAGGUCAUCACUCAUUGUGGAAUGAAGUGAUUAAUUUUAUAAAAAUGUCAUAGAUAAAUUAUUAGGGGUGCAACAAGACAAUCAAUAUCACCAAAUGAAUGUGUUAUUAUUUUAAUUUUCAAUAAAAAAUUAAUUGUUGUUUUUUAAGUUUAUUUUUAAAUUAAUAUAAUAUACCUUAUUCUUAAGUUACAAUGAGAAAAUAAUGUUACAAUGAGAAAAUAAUAUCUAAUGGUUGGGUGAUGAGUACUAAAUGACAUAAACUAAUUUUCUUGCCUAAAACAAACAUGACAAUUUUAGUGAUAAAAAUUAAUGUAGCGAGUUGAACAAAAUAAUAUGACAUGAAACAUGAUAAUAAAAAGGCAAGUUUAAGUGAAAGAUGGUUCAUCAUAUAACAAAAGACAGGGGCGGAGCUUCCUUGGGACUAAGGGGGGCCGCGCCACCCCAAAAAAAAAAAAUUAUAAGUACAAUGACUAAAAUGUCCAUUUUAAAAUUAAAAAAUUACAAAACAUACCUAAACCUAAUUCAGUUUUCUGUUUAUUUCUCUCUCUUCCAUCCAGCCUUCCUCUCUCCCUCUCUCUCUUUUGCUUACAAGUUCCAGCCUUCCUCUCUCCCUCCUCCAUAAUCAGAUUCAUGAAUCAAGACAAACGUGCGGUCGUCUCUCUACGACAAUCGCUCGUCUGCUCGCUCACGAAAUCGCUCGCUGCGGCCAAUCGUUCGUCUGCCUGACUGCCUCUGUCCGUGGCCAUUCGUCGCUGCCUCUCUACUCGCCGCAACCUCAUCAGUCAUCUGUCUCUAGAUCUUGUUGCUGCUUUGUUCAAAAUGUUCGAAUUUCUAUUUUGUUAUUGCUGAUUUUUGUUAGUUAGUGUCGAUUUUUGUUAGGUUUGAUAUUUUUUAGCAUAAAAUUUAAAACUUAUAUUGUUAUUGUUGAGUUUAGAGUUUUGAUUUGGAGUUUGAAAUUUUGAUUUGGAGUUUUAAUUAGCAGAUUUUUGUUUAGAGUUUUUGUGUUGCACAUAAGGUGUUUGAAUUUAUGUCAGUAUAAAGUGUUUGAGUUUUUUUUUGUCUCACAUAAGGUGUUUGAUUUUAUGUGUUUGAUUUUUUUUUUUGCAUACAAAGUGUUUGAGUUUUGUUGCAUUUUUGUUUGAGUUUUUUUGUCUAUAUAAAGUGUUUUAUUUAUUUUUUUUGAAUAUAAGAUGUUUUAUGUUUAUUAAAUUGAUUGAUUUAGAUAAGUUUGUGAGAAUGAAGAAGAGUAGAAGAAUUGAUUAUUUUUUCAUGAGGAAAAUUUGUGAGAGUGAAUUAUGUCAGCCACUCCAAAUUUUUCAGUCAAGUUCCGCCAUUGACAAUAGAUCAUACUUUAUUUAAUAUAGUAAGUGGGAAACAAAAUAAUUCAUAGAUGCAUGUUUCUAGUUUUCAUGGAGAUUCCAUGUUUCAAUGUCCUCUUUUCCUAGGUUUAUUACCAUUUUCUCCUUCACCUUUGUCUCCGUUAUCGUGGUUUCCUCCAUUGUCGUCUUCUUCAACGGGUGGCUCACUAUCGUGGUAUCCCAUGCCACCAAAGUUGUAUAUCAUGCUCUGUACCCAUUCUGAUGCCCAACCCAAUGCCAAAUCUCUCAAAGUUCUCCAAUCUACAAACCUUCUUAUUAAAGUACUAUAUUCGGAUUGCUCAGCUGCCACAAUAGUCAUAAGAAGGGGAACACAUAGAAAGAAUACUAAGAUAAAAAAUUUUGUUUUCAUCCCUUGCUUAAAUUUCUUAAAGUUUCUUGUAAAAUAUGAAUAAUAUCCUCAAAUAUUUAUAGUGAUCACGCAUAGAAAAAAUAAGAUAAUUUUAAAAGACAAAAACAUAUUGAAGAAAAUUAUAUUGCGUACUAAAAAAAAAGACAAUAUGUAUUCUAUGGCCAAUUGCGAAGACAAUGGGUCAUCAAGAUCCAUAGAGCCAUGGAAAAGUUAAAUAAAUUAGAACAUGUUUGCCUUUUGGAUCAUGAUAAUUUGACGAUCAAAGAGACGUUUUAUCCAAUUAAUCUUUUCUAAAAAGUUGCUUUUGGUAAAAUUGUUUCAGAAAAUAGAAUUUAAAACUAGGGAGUUGUAAAAUUUGACUUCCUAAUAAAUUUAGGAUUAAAGUGAUGUAAUGUCCAAUUAAUUCUAAAUGAAUGAUUUAUUUUGACUAUUAAAUGUUUUAAUAUUGGAAUAUUAAAUUUUUAGUAUCUAAAAAAUUUUGAAAUUUUAAUUUUAGUACUUAUUAAAAAAAAUUAUAUUUUUUAGUUUCUACAAAAUUGUUAUGUAAACAGUUUAAUUUAUACCAUAUUGGAACAUCAAUAUAAAUAUUUAAAUACUUUUUUUUUUGCAUACAUGCUGACAUUAUAAAAAGUUCAACAUAAAAAAUGAUAUCAAAAUUCAAUUUCUAGAUCUAUAUUUUAAAGACUUUUAUCUUAAAUAGACGACGUUUAAUUAAUUCAUCCCAAAUUAAAAAAAAAUUAUAUGAAUUAAUUUUUAAUAAUAUUCUAAACAUGCUUACAAUAUUAUUCAAAUAUUUAAAAGUUGAAGAAUAUUUUAUUUCAUCAGAGACUAAAAUAAUUUGAUUAAUAAUUUUAUAGGAAUUAAAAAAAAUGUAUGCAUACAUAAAAAAAUAAAAAAUUAUCAUCUUGGUUCUAAGAACACAACUAAAACAAAUCAAACGAUAACUUCUCGUUUUGAUUAUGAGUUAUAUUUGGUAUUUGUAAUAUUUUAUUUUAUUUUUACAUCUUACCUUAUUAUGAGUUGAUAUAAUUAUUCUGUAAAUUAUUGGUGAUAAUUAUUAUUGUAAUGUGUUAUUUUAAUUUUUAAUAAUAAUAAUAAUAAUAAUAAUAAUAAUAAUAAAAAAGGGAAUCGUUAAAAACAAAUUUCAGACGCUGGAAAUACACGUUUCCCAUUUAAUAUCACGUUUUCUAUUUAAUACCAUCCCUUUAAUACACGUCCCCAUAUAAUAACACACGUUACCCACUUCUAAUGAUAAAAAAGGAAUAAAACAAAACAUAAAAAGAAAUAAAACAAAAACGGGUUUCAGGGAGAAAAAGAAAGAAAUUCAAGAACUAAAUGAGUUACUGAUUCAUCCCUCAAGUAUAACACAUUUGAAGCAAAGACCACUGCGUGAAAAUUUUAAUUACGACACUCAUAUUGAUAAGGGGCAUGACUCCAUCCGCUUUUCUAAUUGAAUUAUUGUUUGUGUGUUAUAUUCGAAAUGAAUAUUAAUAAUUGUUGUGUUUGACAUGUUCAAAAUGUGGAAAAUAAAUGUUAUGUGAUAUGUUGUUAUAAUGGUUGUGUUGAGCAUAUUCAUAGUGUGAAGAAUAAAUGUUAUGUGAUAUGUUGUUAUAAUGGUUGUGUUGAACAUAUUUAAAGUGUGGAAAAUAAAUGUUAUGUGAUAUGGUGUUAUAAUGUUGUGUUAAACAUAUUCAAAGUGUGAAGAAUAAAUGUUAUGUGAUGUGUCGUUGAUAAGUUAGUAUCGCAUUAUAUUUUAUUAGAGUGUACACGAAGCCCUUGCGGGGGAAGCGAUAUUUCGGAAUCAUUAUAUAGAUUAAGUAAUAAGGUUUGUUGGAUAUGCAUUAAUUAAACUGUAGUGUGACUAGUGUUUUGUAAAGAUAACUGAUACAUUGUAUCUCCUGGUUUUUGUGAAUUAAAGUUAUAAAAAAUGUGAUAUUGUAUCUCCUGGUUUUGAGUGAAUUAACGUUAUUAAAUAUGUGAUAGUGUACUUCUAUAUCUUAUUAUUAAUUAGGUAGAUAUGGUAAUGUUAUAUUUGUAUUGUCAAUGUGGUUAGUCGUUUGAGUGAAUUAAUGUUAUUAAUUAUGCAAACAUUGUACUGUUAUCUUUUCAUUGUUAUUAUAUCUUUAAUGCGUUGUGAUUUUUAAUUGUUAAAUGGAGUACAUGAUUUACUUAUAUUUUUGCUAUAACAACUAUAUAUGCAUGCAUAUUUGCUAUGUGUUUGUUAUUUUGAGAUGACCCUUAUAUUUGACAGGACGUUACAUAUAGUGCUAUGUGUUUGUUAUAUUUUCAUUGUUAUUAUACCUAUUGGUGCGUUUUGAUUUUUAACUGUUAAAUGAAGUACAUGAUUUAUUUAUAUUUUUGCUAUGAUAUCUCUAUAUGCAUGCAUAUUUGCUAUGUGUUUGUUAUUUGGAGUUGACCCUUACAUUUGACAGACUUGUUGGGUUAGCUUACCAAAAGUCCGAAGUUUAUGACCAACUGAAUUUAUGCUUGGGUAGUAAAAUAUCAACAGUUUUGGCUAUAGGAGUCUCUUUUGUUUAAUAUAUUAAAUUUAAAUUGUAAAUAUUUUGAUUCUUUAUUUUUGAAAAUAUAACUAAAAAUAUUAUUAAAUGAUUUUAAGAUAAAUGAGUAUUUAAAAUAAUUACAAAUGAAUAAAAGCAAAUUUGUAUUUUUACGUAUAGAAUUUUGUUAGUUAAUGUCCCGAAAAAGCAGGAUGUUAGUCUUGGUUAGCAUCCUUCUAAUCUGCUGUUGGGGAAUUCCUUGUGCCUUCAUUUUAUUGAAUGGAUUUUUCUUUGUCCGAAGAAGAACAAACCAUUGUUGAGUGUUUGCCGUUAUAACCAAUUAUUAAAAUAGAGUAAUAUUAAUGGAAAUGCACAAUUGCUCCUGCGAUCCCUUAACUUAAUUUUAGAUAACACUUUAAUUUUUUUUAAUUGGUCUUUUAUUUAAUAUUAUUACAAAAAUUCGAAAAUAUAAAGAAUGAAAAUAUGAGUUUAUUUAAAGAUUUAAGAUAUUUCAUCGACGUUGUUUCCAUAAAUUAUGAUCUCAUCAACAUAUAUCACUAAGGCAGUAAAGGACGAGCAAAUGGAUUUAAUGAAUAAAGAAUGAUAUGAAUUAGAUUGAGUAUACUCUUUUGAAAUGAGAGUGGAGGAAAGUCUAGCAAACCAUUGCUUACUAGACUAUUUUAAACCAUAAAGAGGUUUUUGAAGUUUACAAACAAUAUUUGGAUUAUGAGCCAAUAACCCAAGUAACAAUUGCAUAUAGACUUCCUCUUCUAAAUUGCCAUGUAAAAAAGCAUUGUAAACGUCUAACUUAUGAAAAUGUCAAUUAUGAGAUGAUACAAGAGCAAGUAAGAGUCUUACGAUAAUGAGCUUAGCUAAAGUGAAUAAGUAUCAAAAUAAUCAAUUCCUUCAAUUUGGUUAAAACAUUUGGCAACAAGGCGUGCCUUAUAAUGUAUUAUAGAACCAUCAGCGUUAUAUUUUACCUUAUAAACCCAUCGACAACCUAAGGGCUUUUUAACACGUGGCAACUUAGUAAGAGUCCAAGUGUUGACUGAUAGAUUGCAUGGUCUGAACCUAAUUAUUAUAUGUGACAACUUGUUUAAAGCUAGUAGGGUCACGAACAACAGAAAUAAAGGAAAUAAAAUGAUAGAAAAAUUAUGACAAUUUUGACUAAGAUAAGACCUGGUAUAAACGAACAACAGAAAUAAAGGAAAUAAAAUGAUAGAAAAAAUAUGACAAUUUUGACUAAGAUAAGACCUGGUAUAAAUGAUACAAUAUAUUGGACUUAUGGCACCUAUCAUGUGCAAAAUUUCACUCAAAAUCUUGUAAGUAAGCAGGGACCUUGUUAGACCUUGAAGACCUACGAAUAGUAUCUUGAUGCUCAUCAAAAUCAAAGAUAGGGGAAGUAUGUAAAUUGUUGGGACUAGUAUCAAGACUAGAUGAAGGAGUUGGAGCAAAUAUAAUACUAUCAUCAGUGGAGUUAUUAACAUAAACAAUUAUUAGGCAAAAGCAUAUUAGUAUCAUCAAACAGAAUAAAGGAAUCGUGAGAAUCAUCAUUAAUAUGCAAGGAAGUAGAAUUAAGAUUAACAUAUGGAAAAACAUAUUCAUAAAAAUCUACAUUCCUAGAAACAAAGGUGACAUGGGUAUGUAAAUCAAACAUCAAAUAACUUUUAGUUCCUUAUCUAAAUCCAAGGAAAAUACACUUGGUGGCCCUUGGAUAAAGUUUAGUGCUAUAAUCACUACGCGAAAAAACGCAUUUUACAGCGCUUUUUUUAAGCCAUUUACAGCGCUUUUUCAAAAAAAUAAGCGCUGUGGAAACGAGCGCUGUAAAUGAUACAACAACGCUUUUAAAAAAGCGCUAUAAAACAUGUAAAUACAACGCGCGCUUGUUAUGCACAUUUUACAGUGCUUCUUCACAAAAAGCGCUGUAAUAUGCACCCCAUUAUAUGAGUUAUGGGUGUUCAUUUUACAGCAAAGCGCUCUAAAAUGCACACCCAUAACUCAUAUAAUGGGGGGCAUAUUACAGCGCUUUCUCAAACAAGCGUUGUAAUAUGCCCAACCAUAAUUUCAUAUAUGGGUGGGCAUAUUACAGCGCUUUUUUGAGAAAGCGCUGUAAAAUGCCCACCCAUAAUUUCAUAUAUGGGUGUGCAUAUUACAGCGCUUUCUCAAAAAAGCGCUGUAAAAUGCCCACCCAUAAUUUCAUAUUAUGGGUCUGCAUUUUACAGCGCUUUUCUUGUACAUUUUACAGCGCUUUCUCACGAAAGCGCUGUAAAAGGUGCACCAUUAAAGCGCUUUAGAACAACAUUUUACAGUGCUUUGUAAAAAAAGCGCUGUAAAAUGUGUGUUUUUUUUUUUUAAACGUUGUAAAUUAAUUAUUUGAAACGAAAAACGCUUUUUAGCUUUUUAUGGCAUUUUUUUUAAAAAGCGCUGUCUUUUAUCUUUGUAUCCAAAAUUAUUUUGAUCCAAAAUCACUUCACAAUCAGUGCACACAACAACAAAACAUAUUCAAAUACCAUAAGCAGUUCACACAAUCAGUAGAACAGAAAUCAGAACUCUGUAACUUUAUUAAUAUAUAUGUAACUCUGUAACUCUGUAAUUUACAACCUAAUUAACUACAUUCAGAUACGUAUAUAUAUAUAACCUAAUUUACAACCUAAACUACAUUCAGAUCCAUAUGCAUGUUCAUAUAUUGUGUCCUAUGAUCAUUUACAUAUAAUAACUAACAGAAUAUACAUUAUAUGCACUAGCUACCAUAUAAUAUUCAGAUCCCUUGCCCAGCAGCAAGCUAUUUCCCAGAAAAUCAAAUAAUUUUCAUGUCAAGCACGUACUGACACCAUUCUUCCUUUAAUUCCAUCAGAUCUUCCUCAGAAUAUGAUGGACUGGAAUUGGCAAAGUACUGCAAUAUAAAAAUUGAACAUAUUAUAUUAAGUUAGUAUCAAAUAUAUAGAUAAUUUAUAUAUGAAAAUCAUAUAAUGCAAAUACCGUACCGUUUCUGGGAUAAUAGUUUUAUUCUUCUCAACAAUCUCCUUCAUGAAUCUCAAUACGUAGUACCCACAGUCGAUGUUAUUUGUUUGACGAGGGCACUUUAUUGAGAUCCAUGUAAUGUUAUUAGACUUCUGCUUCGACACUUUAGCACCUCUUUGAGCUCGAUAAACUUUUAAGGCACUAUCGAAUGAAUAAAUGUGAUUAUUAGAGCAUGAAUAUUUAAAUAUAUAUAUAUGUAAGAAAUAAAUGAAUAUUACUUACGUGUCGAGCAUAUUCUUUAUUCCGGGGUGAUUGGUGUAAUCGCCGUGCACGGGAUCCAAAUAGUAUAUCACUUCAGAGACCGCAUUGAUUGCAAAUAGCACCCAAUGUGCCCUACAACAACAAAAAAUUGGUUAAGCAAUUUUGUUUAUAGACAACUAAUAAAUUAAAUUCUCAUCAAUUAAAAAAGAUAAAAUUACGUACCCUGAAUUAUAUGGUGCCAAGAACAAUUUAUCACUUUCUUUAUUUCUUAAAAACAUAUCUACAAUGUAGUGUUUUACAUUGUCUGGAUCGAGUUUGAACAUCGACAUCUUAUGCGGAGACAAGAAUGAGUAUUUAUUUGACAGUUUCCUCGUGCACACGACCUUCUCGUACAAAAACCUUCAAUGAAAAUUUUAAACUAGAUUAAUUACCAAUACAUUUAAUUAAUUACAAAUAAAUGCAAUUAAAAGUAUUUUUUACCUUAUGUACAAGCUGAUUACAGUAACACUCAGCUCCUUAUGUUCGAGAAGAUCGUACAUUUGCUCCUUUUCGAGGUAUUCAAUAUACUCAUCUCCAAAGAUGUCUUGAUUCAUUUGUACAAUGGGCGAAUCGUUGCUGCUGCCCAUGUUCCUUUUUAUUUGGAUGUCAAGACACGCCCCGUAUUUACCAAGGCGUGGCUGACUUUUAUUAGGAGCAGCAGCAGCAGCGACCGAUUUUCCCCGAUCCAGAUUUUUUGUUGCUGCAAGUUUUGCAGCUUUAUUACCCUCCAGCCUUUGUAGUUUGGCAGCCCUAUUAACCUCCAAUUUUUGAGGUCUGCUGCCUUUUUUUGGCUGUAGGGGUGGUUUAUUUAUUUGGACCUACAAAAAUGAGGUAAAAUGUUAGUUUAUUGAAUCUGAAAAAAUAAAAAACCUUAGGCAAUAAAUGUGACAAACCUUUUCGGGAGAUGUAACUGAUUUGUCCUUGGGAAUCUUUUUUUCGAGGGCAACAAGGUGUGUGGGCCAUGCCACGUAACUGCCAAUAGCGUCGCUUAAGAACUUCAUAUCUCCAUCGUUGUCCGGUAUGGGCAACGGUGCAGUUGGUUCGAAAGCAACCGUAGGCGAUACUUUGACAUGGCCCGCGGGGAUCGGAAUAUUGUGCAAUACUUCUCCCGAAGUAUUGUGCAAUAUUCCUUUUCCCACCUUCCGUUGAGUCGGCGAGGACAAGUAUAGGACACAUGUAGUGACACCCUACAUCAAUAGUUAAAACAUAAGUACAGUUAAUAUAUAAGUUUGUUUAAUACAUAAGUAAUUACAUAAGCAAGUAAGUAGUAAGUAAUUAAUUACCUCGGGAAUACUCUUCAAACCGACGUUGCAACUCCCGGUUUCACUCUCCAUUUGUAUUUCAGGUUGGAGCUGAACCGGAAGUUGCUUGUCUUUAUUCGUAUUCACCAAGAGUGCCACUUGCUCCGAUAAGAUUCUGAGCUUCUCUAAUACUUCCUCGUUGGAAGGUUUUUGGCGCUUCUCUUGAGGAAAAAAGCUUUUGGGAGUUACGCCAAAUCCUUUCCCCCUCACUCGACCGGAAUACUCAGGGACAUUAAACACUUUCCCAAGAAUGUCCCUGCACGUAUCCUUGUUGCCCUCUUGAGUUUCAGAACUUUGUUCAAUAGUUUCCUAAAAUACAUGUAACAUUAAAAAGAUAAGUUCAAUAGCAUUUUUAAAAUACAAUAUUAAAAAAUAUUAAAGUGAUAAUAUACUUACACAAAGUUCUACAACUUUCUUGACAUUUUCAUUAUCAACCACUCCUUCUUUGUUAACACGCGCUUCCUUCCAUAAGAUAUGACGACCCAAGGGUUGAUCGGCUUGGGUGUCUUUUCUCUAUUCGUUAAAAUCAUAAACAAAAUAAUACAAAUUAGUUACACACUAUAGUUUAUAAUACAAAUUACAAGUGAUGUUUAAUUACUUACAAUUUUUUGUUCAAGGCGUGCAUAUCCCAUACGUGAUUUCUUGUAUGGGUGUUUUGGGUUGCUUGCCCGUUCGCGAUUUGCCGUACUAAUAUUCUAUAUAAAAAAAAAAUUGCAAUUGUGUAAAAAUUUAAAAUACGCUACGAAUAUGAAUAAUAAAACACAAAUGCUAAUAAAUUAAUAACUUACGACAAACGCCGGGUCAGAACGUUUGGAAACAAAUGCACUCCAUUCAUCCUUUGAUAUAUAAUGUUGAUAUAUCUUUGGAGGUUCAGCAUUUGUGUUUCCUUCUCUAUCUUUUAGAUAGAAAUUUGAGAGAUGGGAUCUAAAUCCACGAUGGAUUUUCCCAGCAACUCUCAAAACAUAUGACUUUCGUUCCUCAUCAAGAACAAAAGUGGUCUGCAAUGAAAACAAUUAUAAGUAAUGUAUUUUACAGAAAAAAAAUUAUAAAUGACAAAAGAGUAGAUCAAAAUAUUUACUUGAAUGUCAUUCCAGAUGAUAUCUUUGGCAUCCUUCAACGCCUUAUCUCUCCAGUUGUCUAUUGUUAUUGGGACAUUUUGACGAACAACAGCCCCAAUGUAGCUUACAAACAUGGAGCUGUUGGGGUCAACUGGCUGACCACUCUCGUUCCAGCCAACCUAAUAAACUCAUAUAGUAAGUACAUGCCCUAAACCCUAAAAAAAGAUAAAAAAACACACAGCAAACAGAGUAUAUAUAGUAUACCUCAAAUUUAAUGCCACUGCUCCGUGCUUUAAUCACCCUUUGCAUGAUAGUUGCACCACGUUUGACUUCUUUUUCGUAAGUCUUAGAGGUGCCAACUUCUUCAUUUUGAACUUCUAAAUCUUUGUUUGUAUCCAUUUAACUACAACAAGUUCAACAUGCACUUUAGUAUAACAUCAACAAGCUCAACAUGGAUCAUGCAUUAUUAUAAACAAACUCAACAUGUAUCAGUAUAUCUUAAAAAAGCUCAACAUGCAUUUUAAUGAUUACAAAAAAUUUAUAACAUCAAUACCUGAAUAAUGGUUCGAAGAAAGAUGAAAUCUAAAGAAAAGAGGGAACGCAGAAAGUUCACAGAAAUAUGGUUCAAAGAAAUAGGAUAUUGAAGAAAUACGUAAUGAGGGUUACGUAUUUCAAUGAAAAUAUAUUGUGUGAAAUGGGAGAGAUGAUCUUGGAUGGAAAUAAGGUUCGAAAUGAAGGAGAUGAUCGUGGAAAUAAGGUUCGUAAAGGACGGGAUGAUAGGGUUUGCAAAAGAAGAGAAGAAAUGAAGGUUGAGAUGACAAUACCUGAAUAAUGAUGGUUCGAAGAAAGACGAAAUGCAAAGAAAAGAGGGUUUGCAGAAAGUUCACAGAAAUAUGGUUCAAAGAAAAGAGGGAACGGUAUUGAAGAAAUACGUAAUGAGGGUUACGUAUUUCAAUGAAAAUAUAUUGUGUGAAAUGGGAGAGAUGAUCUUGGAUGGAAAUAAGGUUCGAAACGAAGGAGAUGAUCGUGGAAAUAAGGUUCGUAAUGGACGGGAUGAUAGGGUUUGCAAAAGAAGAGAAGAAAUGAAGGUUGAGAUGAUAGUGAAAGACCUCCUUGUGUUAUUAUGUUAUUUGAAUACCUUUUACAGCGCUUUUACACAUAAGCGCUCUAAAAUGUCUCUUUAUCUUAAUUUUAAGAGGCUCUUUUACAGCGCUUUUCCCAAAUAAGCGCUGUAAAAGAACUCCGUGUGUUAUUAUGUUAUAUGAAUGUUUUUUAAAGCCUUUUACAGCGCUUUUCCACAUAAGCGCUCUAAAAUGUCUCUUUAUGUUAAUUUUAAAAGGCUCUUUUACAGCGCUUUUUCCAAAUAAGCGCUGUAAAAGGCCUUAUUGUUUUUGUGUUUUGUUAUGUUAUGUUAUUUUUUAAACAAGCUCAACAUGCAUGCAAAACCCACAUAGUAGUAACUGGUCACCACAAAAAUCCCUUCCUCUUCACCAAACUCUUCUCCUUUUAUGCAUCUUCUUCACAAACAUCAAAGCUUACUCUUUCACAAUUCAAUCUCCACCUCAACACCCUUUUUAUCUCUUUACAUUCUCUUUCCUUCUUAAAUCGAAACUUAAUUGGUAUUCAGGAUCAUUGCCAUGUUGCGAAAAAUGGGUUUGUGUCUGGUGUUUUUGGGGAUUCCCAUGAUGCGUACAAGGUGUUUGAAGAAAUGGGUUUGUGUCUGAUGUUUUUUGGAUUCCCAUGAUGCGUACAAGGUGUUUGAAGAAAUGGGUUUGUGUCUGAUGUUUUUUGAAUCCCAUGAUGCGUACAAGGUGUUUGAAGAAAUUAGGUGUCUGAUGAAUAUUAUUUUUAAAGCCAUUUUACAGCGCUUUGGCAAACAAGCGCUGUAAAAUGUCUUUUUUACUCACUUUCAAAAGAGUCGUUUACAGCGCUUUGUGUGAAAAGCGCUGUAAAAGGUAUAAAACACUCAUUAUUUUAUUUUUAAAAGGAUCUUUUACAGCGCUUUUUAAGAUAAGCGCUGUAAAAUGUCUCUUUAUUUUAUUUUUGUGUUUGGUUUAUUUGGGUUGGGAUGACAUUAAAAACAUUUUUAUCAUUGUUUAUUGGAUUAAAAAUAUUGUUAUCAUUGUCUUUAUCACAAUACUUUAGGAGAUGAUGAAUUAUUAGAAAUGAGUAUUCUGAAGAAUCUAUAUAUAUAUAUGCACUGAGCAAAAGAGAAUCUCUCUAUUCAGUUCAGUUCAGUUCAUGUAAAUUACUAAUUUAUAUUCAGUUCAGUUCAUGUAAAUCAAGCUAAAUAUAAAACACUCAUUGUUACAUGAACUUGGUAUAAAACACUCAAAUCAAGCUAAAUAUAAGCAGAAAAUAAAUUAAUCAGAAAAUAAAUUAAUCAGAACUUAGUAUAAAACACUCAAUUCAGAUUACAUGCAUAUUUACAAUAACACAGUUCAGAUUACAUGCAUAGCUUAUAUAAAACAAUUAAACAUAUAUAUACAUUAAGAUGCCCUUCUUCUUUUCCUGGUGACAUUCACAUUUGUUUGUCCAUUUACAAUACGAAACGAUGGAUUAAUCCAAAUUCCCUCAUCAUGAUCAUCUCUAAGAUAUAAACCAUCAUCAGUUGAAUCAAUUUCAUGUGGUUGUUGUGAUGUUGCAAAUAAAAGAUCAUUACCAACAUCUUCAUCAUUAUUGUUAUCAUCACUUAUUUUAUUGGUCGAUAGGACAACAGACCAUUUAUCAUUAGAAGGAUCAGUGACAUAAAACACUUGUUGAGCUUGCGACGCUAAAAUAAAAGGCUCGUCUUUGUAUCCCACCCUAUUAAAAUCGACAAGCAAGAAUCCUGACUCAUCAAUCCGAACGCCAUUAUUAUUAUCGACCCACUUGCAACCAAAUAUGGGAACACGAAACAUUGUGUAGUCUAACUCCCAUAUGCGCUCGAUAACCCCAAAAUAUGAUAGAUUUGCAUAUAUUGGGUUUUUGUCUUUUGCACUUGAGACAUGCAUCGCUUCAGCUACGAGAGUGACUCCACUAUUUUGCAUAGUGGUCUGAUCAUCUUGUUCUUUGGUAUAAAAUGUGUAGCCGUUAAUAACAUAACCAGUGUAAGAAAAGACAUGUAAGCUCGGACCAUUUGCUAGCCACCUCAAUCUAUUUGAAAUUGAUCCGGGGUCUAUAUCAAAUUUUGACAUUAUGUGAUUUUUUAACCAUGUUACAAAACUUCGAUUGUGCUCUCGAGUUAUCCAAUUUUGAUUCCUAUUCAUGUUCAAACGAGAUAACUGAUCAAUGUGUAUUGUAACAUACGGUUGAACCUCAUCAUCAUUGUGCAGAACAUACAAUUGUGCCUGCUCCCAUUCUGUCCUUGAUAUAGUCAGUAGUCUCCUUCCAGUUAUCCCUUCUCCUGAUAGUCUUCCCGAAUGACGAGACAUGGGAAGCCCUAUGGAUUCAACAUUGGACAGAUAUUCAGUACAAAAUUCAGCAGCCUCUUCAACAAUGUAUCGUUCAGCAAUACAACCUUCUGGUCGACUUCUACUUUUUACGUACCCUUUUAAUAUUUUCAUAUAUCGUUCUAUCGGAUACAUCCAUCUCAUAUAAGCUGGCCCACAAAGUUGUGUCUCCUUAACCAGAUGAACAGUAAGGUGAACCAUUAUAUCAAAAAACGAUGGUGGGAAAUACAUUUCAAGCUCACACAAAGUAACAACAAUUUCCCUCUGCAAUGUCGGUAAUUUCUGAGGGUCGAUCACUUUACUACAAAUUUCCCUGAAGAAGAAACAUAAUCUAGUUAAGGCUAGUCGAACUUUUUCAGGUAAAAUGGAACGUAUACCUAUUGGUAGCAAAUGCUCCAUUAUAAUAUGACAAUCAUGGGUCUUCAAACCUUUUAACUUGAGGUCUUUCAUACAAACCAAAUUUUUAAUGUUCGAAGAGUAUCCUUCUGGAACUUUAACUUCGUGUAGAAAUUUACAUAAAACAAUUUUUUCCUUUCUAGAUAGAGUAUGAGCGGCUGGAGGUAGAUAUGUGCGAUUUCCUUUCUUUACUGGAGCCAGUUCAUUUCUUAUUCCCAUAUCGACCAAGUCCAAUCUUGCAUUGACGCCAUCUUUAGACUUUCCUGGAACAUUGAGUAACGUACCAAUAACACUUUCAAAUACAUUUUUUUCAAUAUGCAUCACAUCGAGGAAAUGUCUUACAUACAAUGACUUCCAAUAUGGCAAUUCAAAGAAAAUUGACUUUUUCUUCCACCCAGUUUUCACCAGCUCUCCCGCAAAAGGUUUGCCAAAUUUAUUGGUCAAACCUUGUACUUUUUCAAGUAUUUGAUAUCCAGUCGGUGCUAAAGGAGCUUUACCUUCCUCUGAUUUUCCAUUGAAUGCAUUUCUCCACCCACGAUACUGAUGACUAUAAGGUAAAAAUCUACGAUGUCCAAGAAACACAUUCUUCUUACAAUGUUUCAACCGCAUCCAAUUUGUACUCUCUUCACAUAUAGGACAUGCACACUGACCUUUAAUGCUAUAUCCUGAUAAAUUACCAUAUGCUGGAAAAUCAUUAAUUAUGCCGAACAACAUAACCCUUAAAUUGAAACAUUCUUUCUUAUACCCAUCAUAAACUUCCACACCUGUCUCCCACAUACUUUUUAAAUUUUCGAUUAGAGGAGUCAAGUAUACGUCGAUAUCAUUCCCCGGUUGUUUGGGUCCAGAAAUUAACAGAGACAACAUCAUAAACUUACGCUUCAUACAUAACCAUGGAGGUAGGUUAUAUAUUACCAAAAUCACAGGCCACGUGCUAUGUGAGAUGCUUUGAAGACCAUGUGGAUUCAUUCCAUCAGUAGAAAGUGCAAGUCUUAGAUUUCUUGACUCUAUCCCGAAUUCAGGAUACUCGUGAUCAAUUUUUGCCCAUUGUGGGGAAUCUGCAGGGUGUCGAAACAUUCCAUCUCUAAUUCUUUCAUCUGCAUGCCAUGUCAAGUGUUUUGAAUCUUCUUCACUGCGAUACAUGCGCCUAAAUCUUGGUAUUAUAGGAAAAUACCACACGACUUUUGCUGGAGUAGAUUCUUUCUUCUUAUAUCGAGAGACAUUGCAUUUCGGACACGCCUUAAGUAGUUCAUAUUCGUUUCGAAAUAAAAUGCAAUCGUUAGGACACGCAUGAAUCCUUUCGUAACUCAUUCCAAUAGAACACAAAAUCCGUUUAGCCUCGUAGGUCCGACUGGGAAGUUCAUUAUCAUCUGGCAACAUAUCUUUUAUGAGUGUUAAUAAUUCCGUAAAGCUUUUAUCAGACCAUCCAUUACUCGCUUUUAAGUUGUACAACUUUAAUAUCGCUGACAGUCUUGUGAAUUUAGUACAACCAUUAUAUAAUUCUUUCUCUGCAUCACUCAACAAACUUUCAAACAUUUUAGGACAAUCUCGAAGAUCUUCUUCAACUGCUUUUGCAAUCUCAUCAACUCGGUCCGGCUCAUAUGUAUCUGUAUCGAAAUCAGUUGAAGCAUAUGUAGAACUAUUCUCAAAAUUAAUGUUUCCUUUUUUUUUCUCACCAUGUCUUAUCCAACAUGUGUAGCUUUGAUCAAUUCCAUUACAUACUAGAUGUCCUUCUAAUUCAUCUUCUCUAACACGUUUUCCAAAACAACAUUUUAAACAAGGACAAACUACUCUAUUUGGAUCUUUUGCAUUCUUCACUGCAAACUCAACAAACUCCUUCACUCCAAUUUCAUACUCUUUUGACAAUCGAUUGGCUGAAAUCCAUUUCCUAUCCAUAUUAUACCACCUAUAUAAAUGCAGUAACAAAAAUAAUAAGCUUUCAAAACAUAUCAACAAGUUUCAAAAAGAAACCAAUAUCAACUAACAAUUUCAAAACAGAACAGAUCAUGUGGUAUGAGUUUUUGACAAUUUUUGACAAUUUCAAAACAUAACAGAUCAUGUGUAAAAAAUACCUUAGACAACGUAGAUGGCCGCACAGUACGUAGAGGAUAUUAGGGUUCGCAACGUAUAUAAUUAUUUGAAAGAUGUAGAGGAUAUGAGGGUUUCCAACGUAUAUAAUUAUUUUAAAGAUGUAUUUUACAGCGCUUGUGAAAAACGCGCUGUAAUAGGUAGUUAAAUUCAAUGAAAGCGCAUGUGUUUUACAGCGCUUGUGAAAAACGCGCUGUAAUAGGUAGUUAAAUUCAAUGAAAGCGCAUGUGUUUUACAGCGCUUGUGAAAAACGCGCUGUAAUAGGUAGUUAAAUUCAAUGAAAGCGCAUGUGUUUUACAGCGCUUGUGAAAAAAGCGUUGUAAUAGGUAGUUAAAUUCAAUGUAAGCGCAUGUGUUUUACAGCGCUUGUGAAAAAAGCGUUGUAAUAGGUAGUUAAAUUCAAUGUAAGCGCAUGUGUUUUACAGCGCUUGUGAAAAAAGCGCUGUAAUAGGUAGUUAAAUUCAAUGAAAGCGCAUGUGUUUUACAGCGCUUGUGAAAAAAGCGUUGUAAUAGGUAGUUAAAUUCAAUGAAAGCGCAUGUGUUUUACAGCGCUUGUGAAAAAAGCGCUGUAAUAGGUAGUUAAAUUCAAUGAAAGCGCAUGUAUUUUACAACGCUUGUGAAAAAAGCGAUGUAACUGAUACGCGAAAGCGCUUCCUUUUACAGCGCUUUUUUGACAAGCGCUGUAAAAGCCUUAUAACGUGAUGCGCAAACGUUAUAUGACCUACUACAACGCUUGUUUUACAGCGCUUUGAAUCAAAAGCGCUGUAAUAGGUUCCGUUAUUUUUAAAAUAUAAUUACAACAGCGCUUGUGUUUAGCAAGCACUGUAAAAUGGGCGCUGUUAAAUGUCAUUUUUGGCGUAGUGAAUAUAGCAAAGUGGAAGCAAAAGCAAGACAUCAAAAAAACCUUUAAAUACAUAAAGUUAGGAGAUUGUUUAUAUAACCUUUCGAAAUGGGUCUUAUUAUGUAAACAGGAGGUAGUUCACCUGUUAAUAAGAGAAACAACGUGAUUAAUAGCAAAAGACAAAAAAUUCUUUGGUAGUUUAGAGUGGAAAAUAAGUGAUCUAGUCACAUUAAGAAGAUGAGGAUGUUUCCUUUCAACAAUUAAGUUUUCUUGGGGUGUAUCAACACAAGAGGUUUGAUGCAAUAUGCUCAAACUAGAAUAAAAAAGAGGCAUAUUGAAUUCAAGACCAUUAUCAUUGCUGAUUUUCUAGACUUUUGUAUUGAAUUGUAUUUUAACAAAGGAAACAAAGUUUUGAAGGAGCAUAUGAGUUUCAGAUUUAGCAUUCAUUAAAAAUAACCAAGAAAAUCAUGAAUAAUCGUCAACAAUAGUUGGAUAAUAUUGAUGACCAUCAAAAGAAGGAACAUUAAUAGGUCCUCAAAUAUCAACAUGUAUAAGGCUAAAAAUAUGUAAAGAAACAUUUUCACUACGCGGAAAAGGGAUUUUAGCAUUUUAUGCCCAAAUAAAAAGAGUCACAAAUCAUAUUUUUAUUAACUGAAAUGUAAUAAAAUCGUUUACACAUUUGUUGUAACAGGGUUAUUGAUGGAUGACCUAACCUAAAAUGUCAAACAUCAAAUUUAUUUGGUAUAGUGGCAUUAACAAAGGUAGUAUAAUGGUGAUUAGAAACAGGAGCAAAUUCAGUAGAAAAAACCAUAGCAGAGAUAUAAUAUGAUCAAGAAUAUAAAGGCUAUUACAAUGCUCCACAUGUCCUAUCGUCUUAUGGGUAUGCAAAUCCUGAAUUGUAUAAAAAUUCUUAGAAAAUAAUAGUUUGUAAUCCAAAUCAAGAGUGAGUUUUGAAAUAGAUAUUAAACUAAAAUUGAAUUGAUGAAUAAACAACCUAUUUUUCAAGUAAAGAUCAGAAGUAAAGUAAAAAUGUCCUAAAAAAUGCGUAAGAAUAUACGACCCAUUUGGAAAAAUAAUAAAAAUUGGUUCAAUUUGUUUCAUUGAAUAAAAACAUUUGAUAAAUGGACAAACAUGAUCUGAAGCCCCCGAAUCCAUAAUCCAUAGAGAAAAAGGAUUAGAUACGAAACCUGUAUUAGAAAUACUUGAUACUACGUGAUUGGAUUAAUCUGAAAUAGAAUUCUUGGUUUCGAAAGAAGUUACAUCAACAUAUUUAGAAUUAUGUAGCAGAUUAAUCAAAAUAUUAUAAUAUGUUUUGCUAAGAUGAUUGUUGAUUGUUGGAAUCGUGUUGCUGUGUAGGCUAGGAGAGAGAAGGAUUCUUAGAACCAUUUAUUGAAGACGAAUUCAAAGAUUGUUAUUUACGAUAUCAUAGUGGAAAGCCAUGUUUGAAAUAACAUGUGUCUACAAUGUGAUUAUUCUUAUGACAUCGAGUAUAAAACAUGGAGGGCCGAGGCUGACCACGACGAUGAUGGUAUUGCCUGCGACCUUGACCUGAAUUUUUGGAAGUAUUGAUAUUAAAAACAACAUAAGUAUCAGGAGGAUUAUGGUUUGAAUUGGGGACAAGGUCUUAUUGAAAAACGAAAGAAUGCACCUUGUUAAUAUAAGGUAAAGGAUCCAUGAAUAAAAUCUGUGUGUGAAUGUUAUUGUAAUUUUUAUUCAAACCUUUAAGAAAACAAGUGAUAUACUCUUGAUGCUUGAAAUAAUGAACUGUUGUGUUGAGCUUGCAAGAACGAGGAAUAGGGCAUAUGCAUGAUUGUGUUGGGCACAAAUCCUCCAAUUCACCCCAAAGAAUCUUCACAUUGGUGAAAUAGGUAGACAAAGAAUGUUCACCUUGUUUGAUUGAAUGAAGAUCACGAAUUAGAUUGGAAAAUCGAAAAUUAUUUCCUUGAAUGAAACGAUCACGAAGAUCAUACCAUAACUCUAAUGCUGAAUCAAUGCAAAUGGAGAACGUUAAAAACUCAAUAUUGAUUUUGAUUGUGAAAACGGAGAACAUCCUUGGUUCUGGAAACAGAAAAUGGAGAACAUUCUAGGUUAAUUAAAAUCAAUAGUUUAGUUUAUAUGUUUAACUUGAUAAACAAAAGGAUUGAAAGUAAAUAGAGAUAAGAAGAUAGAUGUCACAUAAUGAUAUAUCUUAGUUCACCUAACUCAGGCUAUGUUCAGUGUAACACCCCGUUUUUCAAAGCGAGGGUAUUUUUUUUUUUUAAAAGUAAUUAAAAACGAACGAAGAAAUAAAUCAGGAAAUGCUUUUGGAUAAAUAAUUGAGUCAUUAUAAUUUACGCAGCGGAAAAGUUUCUCCAAUUAUAAAUCCAAAACAUUUUUACAUAAACAUCAAAUGGUACAUGGAACCCAUUCAAAGAUGAUAUCAAACUGAUAAUAUUUAUAUAAGUACAGUUUUCCAAAACUAAAAUACUCCAAACCAAAGAGAAGGACCCCUAGUCCCUAUACAUCAUCCUAAUCUGAUCAUCCUACCAAAAACUAUACACCCUGAGUAAUCUCCACGCGCCCCGUGAGAUCCUCCUAACACAACCGCAGUCAAGCAUUCCCAUCUCCAUCCCUGUCCGUAGGGUACGAACCAGUAGGGCCGUCCUGACUCUCAUCUGAGGGCAAAGCCCAGAUUUCCACAAUAGUGUAAAGGGUCACCAACCAGAAAAUAACAGAUAACACAUAGCAAUUAAGUUUUUGAAUGCUCAAAACAACUUUUCAACUAAGCAUGCACCUUAACAGGAUUUUCAAUGUGCGAAAAGUUCAUACAUUACAUUGCCAAUGAAAAUGAAGGUAAAAUGCAGUUCUCGAUCUCCUAAUUAACACAUGAUAAAACAAGACAUGGAUAGAUUCAUGAGCAAUAAAUCAUACAACUAAAACUGAGGAUUUUCACUGAGCCAAUCGAUUGGGCAAUCGAUUGGGGUGAAGAUUUUUAAUGAAAACAGAAUCCUGGGCUGAAUUCAAUCGAUUGGUAAAUCGAUUGAUUGGUUCCCACAACUUAACACUUAGCAAUUCCUACGCGAUUACUACGACACACGAAGGUUCGAUAACCAUCAUACUCACACACAAUACACAACACAUAGCACUUAACACCUUCAUCUCAGUUAUCACGAUAAAUCAAAAUUCGAAUCACUCAAUCAUAAACUCAAAUCAAACAUGACUCGCGUGCCAGGCACCCUAAUGCAAUGCGUAUAUGCCAAAAUGCAUGGACUCGGAAUUCCAAACCAAAACCCUCCUCGAAGGGCCGUAAAUCAUAAUUGUACCGCCUAUCGCAGGCCAAAGUACCAAUUACCGAGGUGCCACCUAUCACGGGUCAGCACGAUUUACUAAAAUGCGUAAAUCAUAAACGUACCACCUAUCACGGGUCAGUACAGUUACCAUGGUGUCACCUAUCACGGGUCAACUCGAUUUUCUAAAUAGUAACUCGUAAACGUACCACCUAUCACGGGUCAGUACAGUUUACCGAGGUGUCACCUAUCACGGGUCAACACGAUUUACUAAAAGAAAAAGCGGGAAUCGUAAACGUACCGCCUAUCACAGACCAGUACUGUUUACCUAGGUGCCACCUAUCACGGGUCAGCACAAUUCACCAAAAAUGUAAAUCGUAAAUGUACCACCUAUCACGGGUCAGUACAGUUACCAUGGUGUCACCUAUCACGGGUCAACACGAUUUACUAAAAGAAAAAGCGGGAAUCGUAAACGUACCGCCUAUCACAGACCAGUACUGUUUACCUAGGUGCCACCUAUCACGGGUCAGCACAAUUCACCAAAAAUGUAAAUCGUAAAUGUACCACCUAUCACGGGUCAGUACAGUUACCAUGGUGUCACCUAUCACGGGUCAACACGAUUUACUAAAAUGUAAAUCGCAAACGUACAACCUAUCACGGGUCCGUACAGUUUACCAAGGUGUCACCUAUCACGGGUCGACACAAUUUACCAAAUGAAAUGCAUGAGCAUACACAGACUCCAUUCACAACAAUCGUUAAGCAAAUGCAGAUAUUAAAAGAUUCCCCAUUUUUAAUACCCAUUUAACUUAAACGACUUUCAAACAACAUUAAUUAAAUAAGUCAUUAAGAGAUUCCCCGUUCUUAAUACCGAUUUAACUUAAUGAUUUUCAAAACAAAACGUUAAGCAAACAGUCAUAUUAAGAGAUUCCCCAUUCUUAAUACUCAUUUACCGAAACGAUUUUCAAAAACGAUAGUUAAGUAACCGAGACAUUAAGAGAUUCCCCAUUCUCAACGCCCAGUUAACUUAAACAUUUUCCUCAAAUACACAUUAAGUAAACCGAGGUAUUAAAAGAUUCCCCAUUUUUAAUACUCGUUUAACUCUAAUGGUUUUCAAAUUCCACAGAAACAAAUUCAAACAUACUUUCACAUUCAAACCAUAAUUCACAACAACCACACCAAUUAACAAACAUCAAGUACGAACACACCAAAUACAACGAACACAAAUCACGCAACAUAACACCCAGAUACAUCAAAUUUCAUUUACCCAUAAUCAUACACAAUGACAUUCAAAUUCAUUUACCACGAAACAUUCAUCACUAUAAACAAAACCUAACUCUAAGGUUUUUACCCAUAACGCACUAGUUUCGUUUUUCCCCAAAUCGAUACAUUUAACCCUAACAAAUUCCUUCCCACACAACUACAGAUAAGUCCCUAAUGCAAGCUAGAAGUUUGGAAGGAGCCCUUACCUCAACGUUAGCUUUAUCGUGCGUUUCCGGUACCGCGAGAAAUUCCGGUAAAAUCUCCGCUCGCAACGCCGCUUCCAAAUUAGUUCACUAGCACCGUAGCGUGGUGGUGAGCAACUUUCCCUUCUAUCUCUUCGAGAAAUGAGGUUUGGAUCUAGGAGAAACGGAGGGGUUUGUGUUUGGAUCUCAAAACCGUUUUUCUUCGUUUUCGAAUCAAAGAGGAAGAGUGGAGUUGCGAAAACCUUGAUCUAACUCACACCCGACCUUGGGUCACUAGCUUUGAAGAAAAGGAAGCAACGAAAACGAAAAAUGGAGAAGGAUGGAUUUUUGGUUUUUCACGUGAGAUGUUCAGAGGAAGGAGAUGGAAUUCGAGAUUUUCCUUCCUUUCUAUUUCUUUCCUUUGUUUUUCCUUUCUUCCUUUUUCCUUCCUUCCUUUAUAUACUAUUUUCUUUUCCUUUUCCUUCCUUCUAGUUUUCCUUUCUUUUUCCCCCCAAACAAACAUAUAUAAAUAUAAUAAAUAUAACUUAACAAAUAUCUCAAAAUCUAGAUAUUUAUUAAAUUACCGUUUCACCCGAAACGCCUUAAAUUCUUCGUAAAGGAUUUUCCGCAGUUAAAUUCAAUUUAUUUAUCGACGAGAAAUUCUAAUUGGCAUCGAAAUAUCUUUUUGAUUAGAAAACUCCAAAAUAUUAUUAACUUUGGCUUAAAAGCCUCCGAGCCAAAAUCCAAAAUAUACCAAAAAUACAUAAAAGGGUACUUUAAAAUUAUGGGUCUUACAUUCAGUCCUUACAAUUGUGAUAUUUUCCACAAAGCGUUCAAAUGGAGAAAAUUCUUGGUUUUACACAGUUUUGUUCAGAUUAACCUUGAUAUGUAACAACAAUUCAUUUCCACUUAGAAAUGAUUCAAUUAGGUCACUUAUCAAUCUUUAGAGAGGAUUUUACAAUUCACCUUUUAUCCAUAAAAAUGAUUUUCUACAAACUAUAAACAACUAUUAUAGUCUUGAGUUUACAAUAAUGAUUUAAAGAGAUUGGUAGAAUCUGAGUAUGUUCAAAUCGUGUUUGAGAAUACAUUCUUGAUAAAAGAAAUACAUAUAACGGUUCUGAUAUUUUAAAAAGAAAACAUAAUUGAAUCUUUUGUUUAUGAUUGAGAAGUUUUCAAGUAUAUAAGUGUAUGUAAGUGAUGGAUUUCUUAACACUUGAAGUUCUAUUUUUCCUUGAACUUGAGGUUCUUUUUAUAGGCUUCAAGGAGGAUGAUGACAACUACUUUGAUCUUUGGAAAAUAUCCAGCUGUCAUGUGUCAAAUUUGACAAAAUUCGAUAACUUUUAAACCAUGAAUGUUUCUUGACUAGCUUCUCAUUCUUGACCGUGAUUUAUGGUCCUUUAUGCUCAUAGACAUCUCAAAGAUGUGUUCAAUGUAUUCAGAUCGAGAAUGUCUUUGAUUCGAUCAAAACAAGCUAGAGAAGGAUGUACACAUGUUGGAGAUUGAUUGUAAAUAUGCUGGAAAAUGAUGUUAUUUGUAACAUCCCGCUUUUUCGAGACAUUAACUUACAAAAUUCUAAAUGUAAAAAUACAAAUUCAUUUUUAUUUAUUUAUGAUUAUCUUAAAUACCCAUUUACCUUAAUAUCAAUUAAUAAUAUUUUUAGUUAUAUUUUCAAAAAUAAUGAAUCAAAGUAUUUACAAUCACUAAAAGUAAAUUUAAUACGUUAAACAAAAGAAACUCAUAGAGCCAAAACUAUUGAUGUUUUACUACUCAAACAUAAAUCCUAGUUGGUAAUAAACUUUGGAGUUGUGGAAAACUCACCCAAUAAAUCUAACACCCCACAAAAGUACCUCAAAACCUCCAACUAUAUACUUCCUCGCAUUUCUCCUAUUAGGUUGACUAUAAGCUCAAGUAACACUAUAUGUGACGUCGUGUCAAAUGUAAGGGUCAUCUCUAAAAUAUUUUACCAAUAAAUAAAUAACAAUCAAAAUAAAACAGUACAUUACCUACUCAGCCAACAAAAAGGUACAAUAACAAUGAAAAUAUAACAGUACAAUGUUUACAUAAUUAAUAACAUUAAUUCACUCAAACGACCACCUACAGUGACGAUACGAAUAUAACAUUACGAUAUCUACAUAAUUAAUAACAUUAAUUCAUUCAUCCAAACGACUACGAGGUACAAUAACAAUAAAAAUAUAACAGUACGGUUAUAUUUUAUAAAAAUGAAGUGAUUAAUUUUAUAAAAAUGUCAUAGAUAAAUUAUUAGGAGUGCAACAAGACAAUCAAUAUCACCAAAUGAAUGUGUUAUUAUUUUAAUUUUCAAUGAAAAAUUAAUUGUUGUUUUUUAAGUUUAUUUUUUAAUUAAUAUAAUAUACCUUAUUCUUAAGUUACAAUGAGAAAAUAAUGUUACAAUGAGAAAAUAAUAUCUAAUGGUUGGGUGAUGAGUACUAAAUGACAAAAACUAAUUUUUUUGCCUAAAACAAACAUGACAAUUUUAGUGAUAAAAAUUAAUGUAGCGAGUUGAACAAAAUAAUAUGACAUGUAACAUUGUAAUCAAAAGGCAAGUUUAAGUGAAAGAUGGUUCAUCAUAUAUAAGUAGACCAUACUUUAUUUAACAUAGUAAGUGGGAAACAAAACAAUUCAUAGAUGCAUGUUUCUAGUUUUCAUGGAGAUUCCAUGUUUCCAUGUCCUCUUUUCCUACCUUUGUCUCCGUUAUCGGGGUUUCCUCGAUUGUCGUCUUCUUCAACGGGUGGCUCACUAUUGCCGUAUCCCAUGCCACCGCCACCAUAGUUGUAUGCCAUGCCCUGUACCCAUUCUGAUGCCCAACCCAAUGCCAAAUCUCUCAAAGUUCUCCAAUCUACAAACCUUCUUAUUAAAGUACUAUAUUCGGUUUCCUCAGCUGUCACAAUAGUCAUAAGAAGGGGAACACACAGAAAGAAUACUAAGAUAAAAAAUUUUGUUUUCAUCCUUGCUUAAAUUUCCUAAAGUUUGUUGUAAAAUAUGAAUAAUAUCCUCAAAUAUUUAUAGUGGUCACGCAUAGAAAAAAUAAGAUAAUUUUAAAAGACAAAAACAUAUUGAAGAAAAAUAUAUUGCGUACUAAAAAAAAAGACAAUAUGUAUUCCAUGGCCAAUUGUGAAGACAAUGGGUCAUCAAAAUCCAUAGAGACAUGGAAAGGUUAAAUAAAUUAGAACAUGUUUGCCUUUUGGAUCAUGAUAAUUUGAGGAUUAAAGAGACGUUUUAUCCGAUUAAUCUUUUCUAAAAAGUUGCUUUUGGUUAAAUUGUUUCGGAAAAUAGAAUUUAAAACUAGCGAGUUGUAAAAUUUGGCUUCCUAAUAAAUUUAGGAUUAAAGAGAUGUAAUAUUCAAUUAAUUCUAGACGAAUGAUUUAUUUUGACUAUUAGAUGUAUUAAUAUUGGAUUAUUAAAUUUUUAGUUUCUAAAAAGUUUUGAAAUUUUAUUUUUAGUACUUAUUAAAAAAAUUAUAUUUUUUAGUUUCUACAAAAUUAUUAUGUAAACAGUUUAAUUUAUACCAUAUUGGAACAUCAAUAUAAAUAUUUAAAUACUUUUUUUUUGCAUACAUGCUAACAUUAUAAAAAGUUCUACAUAAAUAUCAAAAUUCAAUUUCUAAAUCUAUAUUUUAAAGACUUUUAUCUUAAAUAUAAGAUGUUUAAUUAAUUCAUCCCAAAUAAAAAAAAUUAAAAUUAAUGUGAAUUAAUUUUUAAGAAUAUUCUAAACAGGCUUACAAAAUAUUAUUCAAAAAUUUAAAAGUUGAAGAAUAUUUCAUUUCAUCAAAGACUAAAAUAAUUUGAUUAAUAAUUUUAUAGGAAUUAAAAAAAUGUAUGCAUACAUAAAAAAUAAAAAUAAAUUAUCAUCUUUUUAUCUUAGUAAGGGGUCUAGGAACACAACUAAAACAAAUCAGACGAGAACUUCUCGUUGAAUUAAUUAGAAAUAACUUAUAUUUGGUGUUGGUUAGCAUCCUUCUAAUCAGCUGUUGGGGGCAUUCCUUGUGCCUUCAUUUUAUUGAAUGGAUUUUUCUAAAAUGGAUUUUUCUUUGUUCAAAGAAGAACAAACCAUUGUUGAGUGUUUGCCGUCAUAACCAAUUAUUAAAAUAGAGUAAUAUUAAUGGAAAUGCACAAUUGCUCCUACGAUCCCUUAACUUAAUUUUAAAUAAUACUUUCAUUUUUUUUAUUUGGUCUUUUAUUUAAUAUUAUUACAAAAAUUCGAAAAUAUAAAGAAUGAAAAUAUGAGUUUAUUGGAAUAUUUAAGUUAUUUCAUCGACGUUGUUUCAAUAAAUUAUGAUCUCAUCAACAUAUAUCAAAAUAGAUUUAAUGAAUAAAGAAUGAUAUGAAUUAGAUUGAGUAUAUCCUUUUGAAAUGAGAGUAGAGGAAAGUCUAGCAAACCAUUGCUUACUAGACUGUUUUAAACCAUAAAGAGGUUUUUGAAGUUUACAAACAAUAUUUGGAUUAUGAGCCAAUAACCCAUGGGACAAUUGCAUAUAGACUUCCUCUUCUAAAUUGUCAUGUAAAAAAGCAUUGUGAGCAUCUAACUUAUGAAAAUGCCAAUUAUGAGAUGAUACAAGAGCAAGUAAGAGUCUUACGAUAAUGAGCUUAGCUAAAGUGAAUAAGUAUCAAAAUACUCAAUUCCUUCAAUUUGGUUAAAACAUUUGGCAACAAGGCGUUCCUUAUAACGUAUUAUAGAACCAUCAACGUUAUAUUUUACCUUAUAAACUCAUCGACAACCUAAGGGCUUUUUAACACGUGGCAACUCAGUAAGAGUCCAAGUGUUGACUGAUCGAGUAGCUGAGAUUGCAUGGUCUGAACCUAAUUAUUGUAUGUGACAACUUGUUGAAAGCUAGUAGGGUCACGAACAGUAGAAAUAAAGGAAAAAUAAAUGAUAGAAAAAAUAUGACAAUUUUGACUAAGAUAAGACCUGAUAUAAAUGAUACAAUAUAUAGGACUUAUGGCGCCUAUCAUGUGCAAAAUUACACUCAAAAUCUUGUAAGUAAGCAGGGACCUUGUUAGACCUUGAAGACCUACAAAUAGUAUCUUGAUGCUCAUCAAAAUCAAAGAUAAGGGAAGUAUGUAAAUUGUUGGGACUAGUAUCAAGACUAGAUGAAGGAGUUGGAGCAAACAUAAUACUAUCAUCAGUGGAGUUAUUAACAUAAACAAUUAUUAGGCAAAAGCAUAUUAGUAUCAUCAAACAAAAUAAAGGAAUCAUGAGAAUCAUCAUUAAUAUGCAAGGAAGUAGAAUUAAGAUUAACAUAUGCAAAAACAUGUUCAUAAAAAACUACAUUCCUAGAAACAAAGGUGACAUGAGUAUGUAAAUCAAGCAUCAAAUAACCUUUAGUUCCUUAUCUAAAUCCAAGGAAAAUACACUUGGUAUCCCUUGGAUCAAGUUUAGUUCUAUGAUGAAGCAAAGUGGAAGCAUAAGCAAGACAUCGAAAAACCAUUAAAUACAUAAAGUUAGGAGAUUGUUUAUAUAACAUUUCGAAAGGGGUCUUAUUACGUAAAACAGGAGGUAGUUAACAUGAUAAUAAGAAAAGCAACAUGAUUAAUAGUAGAAGACAAAAAAUUCUUUGGUAGUUUAGAGUGGAAAAUAAGUGAUCUAGUCCCCUAAUCCAUAAUCCAUAGAGAAAAAGGAUUAGAUACGAAACUUGUAUUAGAAAUACUUGAUACCAUGUGAUUGGAUUGAUCUGGAAUAGAAUUCUUGGUUUCGAAAGAAGUUACAACAUGAUAUUUAGAAUUAUGUAGCAGAUUAAUCAAAAUAUUAUAAUAUGUUUUGCUAAGAUAAUUGUUGGAAUCGUGUUGCUAUCUAGGUUAGGAGAGAGAAGGAUUCUUGCAACCAUUUGUUGAAGACGAAUUCGAAGAUUGUUUUUUACCAUAACUUAGUGGCAAGCCAUGAUUGAAAUAACAUGUGUCUACAAUGUGAUUAUUCUUAUGGCAUUGAGUAUUAAACAUGGAGGGCCGAGGUUGACCAUGAUGAUGCGAGAAUUUCCCGUGACCUUGACCUGAAUUUUUGGAAGUAUUGAUAUUAAAAAAAAAAACAUAAGUAUCAGGAGGAUUAUGGUUCGAAUUGGGGACAAGGUCUUAUUGAACAAAGAAAGAAUACACCUUGUUAAUAGAAGGUAAAUGAUCCAUGAAUAAAAUCUGUGUGUGAACGUUAUUGUAAUUUUUAUCCAAAACUUUUAGAAAACAAGUGAUAUACUAGCUUGCAAGAACGAGGAAUAGGGCAUAUGCAUGAUUGUGUUGGGCACAAAUCCUCCAAUUCACCCCAAAGAAUCUUCAAAUAGGUGAAAUAGGUAGACAAAGAACGUUCACCUUGUUUGAUUGAAUGAAGAUCACGAAGGAGAUAGGAAAAUCAAAAAUUAUUUCCUUUAAUGAAACGAUCAUGAAGAUCAUACCAUAACUCUGAUGGUGAAUCAAUGCAAACGGAGAACGUUAAAAACCCAAUAUUGAUUUUGGUUGUAAAAACAGAAAACGAAGAACAUCAUUGGUUCUCGAAACAGAAAAUGAAGAAUAUUCUAGGUUAAUUAAAAUCAAUAGUGUAUAUAUUUAACUUGAUAAACAAAAGGACUGAAAGUAAAUAGAGAUAACAGGAUAGAUAUCACACAAUGAUAUAUCUUAGUUCACCUAACUCGGGCUAUGUUCAGUCCUUACAAUUGUGAAAUUUUCCACUAAGCUUUCUAAUGGAGAACGUUCUUGGUUUUACACAGUUUUGUUCAGAUCAACCUUAAUAUGUAACAACAAUUCAUUUCCACUUAGAAAUGAUUCAAUUUGGUCACUUAUCAAUCUUUAGAGAGGAUUUUACAAUUCACCUUUUAACCAUAAAAAUGAUUUUCUACAAACUAUAAACAAUCCUUAUAGUCUUGAGUUUACACAAUGAUGAUUUAAAGAGAUUGGUAGAAUCUGAGUAUGUUCAAAUCGUGUUUGAGAAUAUAUUCUUGAUAAAAGAAUUCAUUAUAACAGUUCUCAUAUUUGAAGAAGAAAACAUAACUGAAUCUUUUGUUUAUGAUUGAGAAACUUUCAAGUAUAUAAUUGUAUGUAAGUGAUGGAUUUGUUAACACUUGAAGUUCUAUUUUUCCUUGAACUUGAAGUUCCUUUUAUAGGCUUCAAGGAGGUUGAUGACAACUACUUUGACCGUUUGAAAAUAUCCAAGUUGUCAUGUGUCAGAUUUGACCAAAUACCAUAAUUUUUAAAUCAUGAAAGUUUCUUAACUAGCUUCUCAUUAGACCAAAGGUUUCUCUCUCAUGAACCGAUGACAGGGUUGAGGAACACAAGAUUUUACAGCUAUGAAGACCUCAUUCUCAUCCCUUUAACAUAAAACAAUUAUAACAAACGAAGAAAAAACAACAACUUCCAAUUUUACAUGUUGGAUCAUCUCCCACAUUCCAACCCCUUGCCACACCGCCACACUUCAAGGGUCAUCCAAAAAAAAUUUCAAUUUAUUUCUGCCUCAUUAAAACACCAAGCACAAUACUUCUAACCAAAAAAAGGAAAAACUCCUAAAAGUGAUGUUUAUUUACGAAAAAAAUGAUUAUUUUUUAAAAAAACUUGUAAUAAAUAGGUACACUUUAUUUUCUUUUAAUUAGAAAUUUAAAAAUCAAACCAUUAACCUGACGAGCUGAAUAAACUAAUACAAUCCAAACGAAUUAAAUUAAUUUAUUUUGUAUUGGAGUCCAAAAUAUAUUAAAUAAAUCCUACUUCUAUUGGUUCAUAAAUCCUACUUUUAUAAAAUUGUCAUAGAUAAAUUAUUAGGGGCGCAACAAGACAAUCAAUGUCACCAAAUGAAUGUGUAAUUUUAAUUUUCAAUGAAAGAUUAAUUGUUGUUUUUUAAGUUUAUUUUUUAAUUAAUAUAAUGUACCUUAUUCUUAAGUUACAAUGAGAAAAUAAUGUUACAAUAAGAAAAUAAUAUCUAAUGGUAUUGGGUGAUGAGUACUAAAUGACAUAAAGUAAUUUUCUUGCCUAAAACAAACAUGACAAUUUUAGUGAUAAAAAUUAAUGUAAACACUAGAUGGUUCAUCAUAUAACAGUAGACCAUACUUUAUUUAACAUAGUAAGUGGGAAACAAAACAAUACAUAGAUGCAUGUUGCUAGUUUUCAUGGAGAUUCCAUGUUUCCAUAUCCUCAUCUCCUACGUUUAUUACCAUUUUCUCCUUCACCUUCGUCUUCAAUGGGUCCCUCACUAUUGUCGUCUUCUUCAACGGGUGGCUCACUAUUGUCGUCUUCUUCAACGGGUGGCUCACUAUUGCCGUAUCCCAUGCCACCAUAGUUGUAUGCCAUGCUCUGUGCCAAUCCUGAUGCCCAACCCAAUGCCAUAUCUCUCAAACUUCUCCAAUCUAUAUACCUUCUUAUUAAAGUACUAUAUUCGGUUUGCUCAGCUGCCACAAUACUCAUAAGAAGGGGAGCACACAGAAAGAACACUAAGAUAAAAAAUUUUGUUUUCAUCCUUGCUUAUAUUUCCUAAAAUUUGUUGUAAAUUAUGAAUAAUAUCCUCAGAUAUUUAUAGUGAUCACGCAUGGGAAAACUAAGAUAAUUUUAAAAGACAAAAACAUAUUAGAGAAAAAUAUAUUGCAUACUAAAAAAAAGACAAUAUGUAUUCCAUGGCCAAUUGGGAAGACAAUGGGUCAUCAAAAUCCAUUGAGCCACGGAAAGGUUAAAUAAGUUAGUAUAUGUUUGUCUUUUGGAUCAUGAUAAUUUGAGGAUUAAUUAAAGAGAUGUUGUAUCCAAUUAUUCUUUUUUUAAAAGUUGCUUUUGGUUAAUUUGUUUCAAAAAAAUAGAAUUUAAAACUACCGAGUUGUAAAGCGAUG